rnacentral:tRNA from 1 species
CGGGGCGUAGCGCAGUUUGGCUAGCGCGCUUGUAUGGGGUGCAAGAGGUCGCGAGUUCGAGUCUCGCCGCCCCGACCA